rnacentral:rRNA from 1 species
GAUGAACGCUAGCGGCGUGCCUAAUACAUGCAAGUCGAGCGAACGGACGAGAAGCUUGCUUCUCUGAUGUUAGCGGCGGACGGGUGAGUAACACGUGGAUAACCUACCUAUAAGACUGGGAUAACUUCGGGAAACCGGAGCUAAUACCGGAUAAUAUUUUGAACCGCAUGGUUCAAAAGUGAAAGACGGUCUUGCUGUCACUUAUAGAUGGAUCCGCGCUGCAUUAGCUAGUUGGUAAGGUAACGGCUUACCAAGGCAACGAUGCAUAGCCGACCUGAGAGGGUGAUCGGCCACACUGGAACUGAGACACGGUCCAGACUCCUACGGGAGGCAGCAGUAGGGAAUCUUCCGCAAUGGGCGAAAGCCUGACGGAGCAACGCCGUGUGAGUGAUGAAGGUCUUCGGAUCGUAAAACUCUGUUAUUAGGGAAGAACAUAUGUGUAAGUAACUGUGCACAUCUUGACGGUACCUAAUCAGAAAGCCACGGCUAACUACGU